ACAGAAUGGAGGUGCAGUAACGUUGAUUUCCAACAGAAAAAAGCAAAAAUUCCAAGUAAAAAAAAAGCAAUAAAAAAAAAAAAGAAAGUUAGAUUGAAAGAGUACAAACGCGAGAGAGGGAGAAUGGUGACAGGGGAGUUUGUGUACAGUGGUAGUCUGAGCUGGAGUGGCUCACAGAGGGAGCGUUGUAGUCAGUUAACGAAGGUGCAUGCAAUCAAUUAGAGAUGGCGGCGGCGGUGGCAUGAGGUCUAGAAACGAAAGCGUCAAUCUUAUACCAACGAUAACCUCAAAUAACCUCGUAUAAUUAGGGAAAAGGUGACUCUCCUUUUUGAUUCAGUGCAUUAUUAGUGAAAAAUGAGCCUAAGAAGAAAGGGAUGAGACGCUACUGUGCAAGAAAGAACACAAAUUUUGUUUAAUUUAUUUUAUUUUUAGUGUAAUGUAAUAGGAAUACUAAGGUAAAUAUAAACUAAAAAUUAAGUUAGAUUUAUAAAAUUAUAAUUUUUUAAA